rnacentral:rRNA from 1 species
GCGGUCUCCUCCUAAAGAGUAACGGAGGAGCACGAAGGUUGGCUAAUCCUGGUCGGACAUCAGGAGGUUAGUGCAAUGGCAUAAGCCAGCUUGACUGCGAGCGUGACGGCGCGAGCAGGUGCGAAAGCAGGUCAUAGUGAUCCGGUGGUUCUGAAUGGAAGGGCCAUCGCUCAACGGAUAAAAGGUACUCCGGGGAUAACAGGCUGAUACCGCCCAAGAGUUCAUAUCGACGGCGGUGUUUGGCACCUCGAUGUCGGCUCAUCACAUCCUGGGGCUGAAGUAGGUCCCAAGGGUAUGGCUGUUCGCCAUUUAAAGUGGUACGCGAGCUGGGUUUAGAACGUCGUGAGACAGUUCGGUCCCUAUCUGCCGUGGGCGCUGGAGAAUUGAGGGGGGCUGCUCCUAGUACGAGAGGACCGGAGUGGACGCAUCACUGGUGUUCGGGUUGUCAUGCCAAUGGCACUGCCCGGUAGCUAAAUGCGGAAGAGAUAAGUGCUGAAAGCAUCUAAGCACGAAACUUGCCCCGAGAUGAGUUCUCCCUGACUCCUUGAGAGUCCUGAAGGAACGUUGAAGACGACGACGUUGAUAGGCCGGGUGUGUAAGCGCAGCGAUGCGUUGAGCUAACCGGUACUAAUGAACCGUGAGGCUUAACCUUACAACGCCGAAG